CGAGUAGCUCAGUUGGGAGAACGUUAGACUCUAGAUCAAAAGGUCCCUGGUUCAAUCCGGGGAUGCGG
rnacentral:tRNA from 1 species